rnacentral:rRNA from 1 species
AAAUUGAAGAGUUUGAUCAUGGCUCAGAUUGAACGCUGGCGGCAGGCCUAACACAUGCAAGUCGAACGGUAACAGGAAGCAGCUUGCUGCUUUGCUGACGAGUGGCGGACGGGUGAGUAAUGUCUGGGAAACUGCCUGAUGGAGGGGGAUAACUACUGGAAACGGUAGCUAAUACCGCAUAACGUCGCAAGACCAAAGAGGGGGACCUUCGGGCCUCUUGCCAUCGGAUGUGCCCAGAUGGGAUUAGCUAGUAGGUGGGGUAACGGCU